GUUUUCAGUUCGGAAGGGCUACAAACUGCGGCAGCUUCCCUGCAAAGUCUGCAAUAAUGUGAAAACAGAAAUAAGCGGUGAGUGGCUGUCACAAACUACACUGGUCUCCUGGCAUCUUCGGCUGUUUUCCACCCACCCUUGAAAAUCAUCUCUGGCCCAAAAUGGAACUGGAGCUGUACCACAUGCUCUAAAUGAAGUGCUAAUUAAAUACUUCUACUUAAUGUAGACAACAUUUCUUUGAAAAGGCUGUAAUGUAUUGCAGAUGUCACAAAUUCCCUUAGAGAAUGACGAGGGGAGCAACGUACACAUCCCUCUCUAGGAGGUAGGUAGCCCAGGUGGUUGUGACUGAUAAGACCUAAUGCUGAAACAGCACUUGUCUGAUCCAAAUUCCCACACACCUUCUCUUACAGGGGCACUGGUAUCAGGAACAGUGCAGGUGCUUCCGUCGGGAUGUAGGCUUAGACACAUGGGAGAUAAAUGGUGGAGCCGGAGAGCUUGAUAGAUACUUGGAAUCUAAAAGAAAACAGGAAGGAAGGAAGGAAAAGCGUUGAACUUCUGUUUACCUCAUUUUGUUUGAACAGAGCCCUGUGUGUUAACCCUCCUCCGCACAAUGAAACUCUGUGCAGUGAAAAUUGGCUAAGUGAGUCCUUAUUCAGGAUCAUUCAUCGCCAUGGCACUGCCUCGUGCAUACAUGGCAGAUUUACACCAGCGAAACUGAGGAAGAAAAUCAAAAGACCCACGAUCUGAAGGAAGGGCUGGAGUUAUUUAUGGAGCGCCAGUAACGUGCUGGGGAUUAGAUGAAGAUCUAACCAGCCUCGCUCUGCAGGGGUGCUGCUGGCAGGGUGACGUGCCACCAAACGCUGCAGCGAGGAGGACAACGUGUCCGGCGACUUGGGGCUCCUCAGAGGCACAUUGUGGUCUGUAUUUUGCAGACUGGACUCUUCCCUUAAGAAGAUGGGGCAUGCGUAUGGGAAGUAAGUCUAAUGGUGAGUACAGACAGUAAAAUUAGUUGAAGGAAAUAGUGUUCUUGUAGCAC
rnacentral:lncRNA from 1 species